rnacentral:rRNA from 1 species
GACGAACGCUGGCGGCGUGCUUAACACAUGCAAGUCGAACGGUAAGGCCCUUCGGGGUACACGAGUGGCGAACGGGUGAGUAACACGUGGGUGAUCUGCCCUGCACUUCGGGAUAAGCCGGGGAAACUGGGUCUAAUACCGGAUAGGACCCUGGGAUGCAUGUCCUGGGGUGGAAAGCUUUUGCGGUGUGGGAUGGGCCCGCGGCCUAUCAGCUUGUUGGUGGGGUGAUGGCCUACCAAGGCGACGACGGGUAGCCGGCCUGAGAGGGUGACCGGCCACAGUGGGACUGAGAUACGGCCCAGACUCCUACGGGAGGCAGCAGUGGGGAAUAUUGCACAAUGGGCGCAAGCCUGAUGCAGCGACGCCGCGUGAGGGAUGACGGCCUUCGGGUUGUAAACCUCUUUCAGCACCGACGAAGCGCAAGUGACGGUAGGUGCAGAAGAAGGACCGGCCAACUACGUGCCAGCCGCCGCUGUAA